CCCUUUGAUGAAUCUAUGUUUUCGCUGUGUUCUUUCUGAUCACUAUGACGAACCUACUCAUUUUUCACCUUGGAGAACUGAGAC
rnacentral:snoRNA from 1 species